rnacentral:rRNA from 1 species
GAUGAACGCUGGCGGCGUGCCUAAUACAUGCAAGUCGAGCGAACAGACGAGGAGCUUGCUCCUCUGACGUUAGCGGCGGACGGGUGAGUAACACGUGGAUAACCUACCUAUAAGACUGGGAUAACUUCGGGAAACCGGAGCUAAUACCGGAUAAUAUAUUGAACCGCAUGGUUCAAUAGUUAAAGACGGUUUUGCUGUCACUUAUAGAUGGAUCCGUGCCGCAUUAGCUAGUUGGUAAGGUAACGGCUUACCAAGGCAACGAUGCGUAGCCGACCUGAGAGGGUGAUCGGCCACACUGGAACUGAGACACGGUCCAGACUCCUACGGGAGGCAGCAGUAGGGAAUCUUCCGCAAAGGGCGAAAGCGUGACGGAGCAACGCCGCGUGAGUGAUGAAGGUCUUCGGAUCGUAAAACUCUGUUAUUAGGGAAGAACAAAUGUGUAAGUAACUAUGCACGUCUUGACGGUACCUAAUCAGAAAGCCACGGCUAACUACGUG